GGCAAACGGGUGAGUAACGCGUGGGCGACCUACCUUCGAGUGGGGGAUAACCUUCCGAAAGGAGGGCUAAUACCGCAUGACAUCCCGUGUUUGGAUACACGGAGAUCAAAGCCGGGGAUCGCAAGACCUGGCGCUUGAAGAGGGGCCUGCGUCCGAUUAGCUAGUUGGUGAGGUCACGGCUCACCAAGGCUCCGAUCGGUAUCCGGCCUGAGAGGGCGGACGGACGCACUGGAACUGAGACACGGUCCAGACUCCUACGGGAGGCAGCAGUGGGAAUUGUUCGCAAUGGGCGAAAGCCUGACGACGCAACGCCGCGUGGAGGAUGAAGACCUUCGGGUCGUAAACUCCUUUCGACCGAGAUGAAUUCCCUCCGACCUAACACGUCGGAGGGGUGACAGUAUCGAGGGAAGAAGCCCCGGCUAACUCUGUGCCAGCAGCCGCGGUAAUACAGGGGGGGCAAGCGUUGUUCGGAAUUACUGGGCGUAAAGGGUUUGUAGGUGGCUUGCUAAGUCAGACGUGAAAUCCCUCAGCUCAACUGGGGAACUGCGUCUGAUACUGGCGAGCUUGAGUGCAGGAGAGGAACGCGGAAUUCCA
rnacentral:rRNA from 1 species